GCUUGCUUCACCUGGUGUUCCCAAUACCCUGUAACAGGGGUGACAAACUAUCAAUUCAACUGCCAUGGAAUGUGGGACUGUGGAAUCUGGAAUCCUUUCUACACAUAGAUACCGAAGAAGUUUUUUCAAAGUCACUAGGAGCUCUUCACCUCAGGAUUAGGGACCCAUGUUCAGUCUGAACCUGGCUUGCUACUGCGUACCUGAUAAUAUGCACAAGUUUCUACUAAAACCUGUAUCUCCUUGUGCAUCUGCAGAGUUUUCUCAAAUGCCAAGUGUGUCGGUAUCUUCUGAUGAGCCACCUACUUCAGUGAUUCCAGGAGUGAGGUCAGAGCCUGGAUAAACAAAGGUUCAUGCUGAAUGACUGGAGUAUACCACCUUAAAGAUUCUGAGGAGGACCCAGAACUCAUGAUCCUCAUUGCUCCUAUUCCAAACUUCUGGUAUUUCAGGCAUGUGCCCUGGUACCAGACUGCUCUCCCUCACUCUCACGAUGGAGAAAACUCCCUUGUAUGACCAUGGACAGCCCACCAGAGUUGGCCUCCAUGUCUUCUGUGGCCUCCCACUUCCUUCACACCUUAUUGUUCUAUGUUCUGGGAAGAAAGUCUUCUUUUGCUUUACUCUUGUUUGUCAGAAUGUAAUUUAAUUAUGAUUUUGUUUCUUUCUUCCCUCCAAAUUUUUCCAUAUAU